AGCGAACGCUGGCGGCAGGCCUAACACAUGCAAGUCGAACGAACUCUUCGGAGUUAGUGGCGGACGGGUGAGUAACACGUGGGAACGUGCCUUUAGGUUCGGAAUAACUCAGGGAAACUUGUGCUAAUACCGAAUGUGCCCUUCGGGGGCAAGAUUUAUCGCCUUUAGAGCGGCCCGCGUCUGAUUAGCUAGUUGGUGAGGUAAAGGCUCACCAAGGCGACGAUCAGUAGCUGGUCUGAGAGGAUGAUCAGCCACAUUGGGACUGAGACACGGCCCAAACUCCUACGGGAGGCAGCAGUGGGGAAUCUUGCGCAAUGGGCGAAAGCCUGACGCAGCCAUGCCGCGUGAAUGAUGAAGGUCUUAGGAUUGUAAAAUUCUUUCACCGGGGACGAUAAUGACGGUACCCGGAGAAGAAGCCCCGGCUAACUUCGUG
rnacentral:rRNA from 1 species